AGCUUUGCACAGUGGCAGUAGAGUAGUCAAUGAGUUUUAUCUGAGGCGUGAUUAUUGCUAAUUGAAAACUUUUCCCAAUACCCCGCCACGACGACUUGAAAUAUAGUCGGCAUUGGCAGUUUUGGGGUCUCUACAGGGA
ensembl:snRNA U4 U4 spliceosomal RNA